CAGAUCCACCGAAUUCCAAAGGGACCAGCCAGAAGCCGUCCUCUGGCCCAGAGGGAGAGACAUGCUCAGUGAAGGGGCUCCCGUCAAAGGACGAGUGUGAGAAGAUGAUCAACAGUGCCCAAGUGUUGAUCCUUGGGCAGAACAACCUGAGAAACUCCCAGGAGCAAGAGACCUACCUCCGUCAGGUGCGUCAGAUGCUGAUGGAACAGCUCCCCUGCAAGCACGUCCUGUCCAACAGUAAACACGACAAUGAGGGAGGGAAGUGAGGAGGAAGGUGUCAGAUUGUGGUCUUCCAACGUAUCACAGGAUGAUGGACAGUGGUGAUGUGUGUGAGGGGUGGACUGGGGCACGAGGAAAUCUAAAUGUUGGUAAAAUAUCUGCAUUAGCAUGUAUCUGGUUGUUCUUCUGUUAUCUCUGUAGCUUAUUAACAAACAAGUUACGCUUCUGUUAGUUACCGAUUUGAAUUAUUUCUCAAUUCAAUGUAAUAAUGGCUUUAAUCCAAGUAAUGAAAGACACAUUAGUGUUCCUGUAAUGUGGCUCCGAUUAUUUCUGUAUUUCUUAUGCAUCCAAUGAUAUUGUGUUACUGGAGGAUGUACCACUGUUUUACUUCUACACUGAUCAGUUAUUAAAAUUAAUACA